CAGUGCGCUGGCAUUUUGGUGUCUCCUUCGGCAGCCAGAUUGGACAUUAAAGGGAAAGAAACAAACACACACACACACACACACACACACACACACACGCCUGUUUCUGAGGCAGCAUGAGGAGCCAGCCAGAUGACGAGGCUCAGGUCACUGUUUUGUGGGCAGGUUCGUCCCACAUACUAGAGCUGACAAACGCCAUAUUCACGCCAAGGAAUUUUGAAAGCAAAUAUGUCACAUUAAUGAUGAUGACGAUGACGACGACGACGAAGAUGGUCAGAAAAUGAUUAGGAAAGAACACCCUGGCAGCCUUUGUUGCUAGAAUCUGCUCAUGGGCAAAUGGCAAAGCUAUUCACAUGGAAGACAUUAAACCAUCAACACCAAGAGGAUGAGACAGCUGCAGCUGAGAUUGGAAGCUGACUGUGCACAGGGUGCACUGUCAUUUCUUCUGCAAAGCACCGUAGUAUUCCUGUUUGAUCUGAGCCUGGGGUCACUGUGUCAGGACUGCCGGUGAAGAAGAGAAAGUAACUCACAAAGAAAAAUGACACGUUCUCCAGGAUCACACAGGGUAUCCAGUGCACACAUCUGAAGAUUCCUCUCCUGCCAGCCCUUAGAGUGAAUCUGUGAAUGUGGCUGUUCUGAGAUUACCACCAUAUCAAGCUUGGGCAUCCUUUCUUACACUCAGCUCUGUUUCUAGCUCAUCUUGCCUCUCACAGUGCAACUAAGAGCAAGCUCCGUACGCUGCUUUCACCGUACCUUAAGGAAACCCUCCACGGCCCUGUCUAUCUUCCUGCUGAAGUUGACUAAGGUCAGCCACAGUGGGGAAUGAGAUCUGCUUCUUCCUCCACUCGUGUGCACCUUAGCUUUGCAGCCCCCCUCCCCUGCUGCCUUCUUUGGGUGCUCGGUAGAAUGCCGACUCCAGUUGACCCCUUGAUCACCGAGACGUCCCCACUCAUAGACUGAUGCUCUGUUUAUCAUAAGGGGUCACUAAAUAUUUGCUAAAUGAGUGGAUGAAAUUAUUUCACCAAGGAUACACUGAAAG
rnacentral:lncRNA from 1 species